CUUUGUUUUGUUUUCAUUCGCUUCCUGCCCGAGUUCUACUUUCUCUUUGAGGAUGUCCUUGAUUUAACCCAGGUGUCUUUGAUUUAGAUUAAUUAUGUUGGGUAUUUAAACCCCUCGGGUCUAUGCGUACGUCGCGUGAUAUUUGUAGUUGAGGUGCCUGUUAUACCGUGUUUGCUGGUUCGUUUCAUUGAUUUAUUAAUAAAGACAGUGCUCCUGCACUUACUUCCUGUUUAUCCCUCUGUUCCGUCACACUAGCGAUAAAGACUAAGGUAGAUGCCGCUCCAUCAGAAUUUGAGAGUUAUUGUUUUUGCGUGAAGAACGUGGAGGAGCUCCAGAGAGAGGUCACGUCAUCCUGCUCCAUCUCCUCAUCCUCAGAGCAUACUUCUCCCUCCUCACAUAGUGCAUGUAACAUCAGCACGACGUACGGGGUUCACCGAAACGGGACUAUUGAAGACUCGAAUAACCGGCUCUUUUUCCAGUCUGUGUAGCCUCACAUUCCUGUUAUUGGGUGACACGGGUGGAAUCCAAUGAGGUUUUCUACUGUUCUCAAGGUUUGGCAUGCUGUGUAUCCUGAGAUGCUUUUCUGCUCACCAUGUAUGUAAAGAGAGGUGAUUUGACUUUACCAUGGCCGUCCUAUUAACUUGACCCAGUCUGGCCAUUCUCCUUUCGUCAACAAGGUGUUUCCACCCCGAGAACUGCCACUUACCGGAAGUUUUUCACACAAGUAUGUGUGUGUGGAAAUCCUAGGAGAGCCGCAGUUUCUGGGAUACUCAAACCAGACCAUUUAGAAUCUACAACCAUGCCACAGAUAAAAUCACUGGAUUACAUUCUGGUGUUUGAUGUGAAUAUUGACUGAAGCUCUUCAUCUGAUCCUGCUUGAUCUUGUACAUUGUGGUGUUGCCAUAUGAUUGGCUGAUUGGAUAAUUGUAUGAAUGAGCACAUGUACAAGUGAUCAGUGAGCACAUCUAUCUACCAUAGAGGUAUUUUGGGGCAAUACUUGACAAUGUACCUGACUUUGUUAGAUUUGUGGCCAAGUUGAAGCUUUUGACAUCCCAAUGGAAAAAAAUAAAACAAUCCAAGACAAAUUCACUUUCAGUCUUUU